rnacentral:lncRNA from 1 species
CGCGCUCGAGGUCCGGCGCGGUCCUUCUCGGCUAGGCGGUGGCGGCGCGGGAGCCGUGGUCCGGGCUCUGGCCGCGGCGCCUGGGGGAGACAGCGGUUCCGGGCCCAGGGCUCGGGCUCCGGACGUGGGUCUGGGUCCGUGCGUGCGUGUGAGCGAGCGUGUCAGUCACGGCCUCCGCCUCAGCAUCGCCCACGGGGAGUCGAAGCGGAGAGGCCGCGGGUCAAGCACGGCGGGCGGCCAUACUGGAAACGGGCACUGGCGGCGGGCUCUGGGCGCUGGCCUGCGAGGGGCGGGGCGCGGCCCUGGGCACCGCCCCCGCCGUGCCGUCACCUGAGCAGCCCGCCGGUCUGUCUGUCCGCCCCGGAGUUCGGUCCGAACUCCUCGUCCCGCUCUCAGAGGCCCACGGCUCCAAACGCCAGACGGGACGGGUCAACACAAAUCCAACCUGUCACCGGCCACACCCCCGCUUCUCAGCCGCUUCGAGAAUACCCGGGACCUGUUUCUGUUUCCCGGUGGCGCUGCCUUGGGGACGGGGACCUGCACUGUUCAUCUUUGCACUCUUGAAGAUACAGCACUCUGGAACGCUUCGUGGAAUUCUCCUGCACUUGGAUACUUGGAUUGUGCCGAGUUUGCUGUGGGAAAGCCCUUUGCUGUGUGUGUGUGUGUAAAGUGGCAGUGGCUGACUUUCUCCAACUUGGAAUAAUUCUUAAUACAUUUUAUUCACCUGUUUCCUUCAAGGCCCAGCACAAAUCAGGAAGCCACCUGAUUUGGGCCUCUUAGAGGCCCUUUUCAUCUUAGGUCAAGGUUCUUCUUGGGCGUGGCUGUUCUCUACAAACUUUCUCUUUAAUCAAUUAGUAACUUCCCCUCACUCCUAAUUUAGUAACUCUUUUAGUAACUUCCCCUAACUACAGAGCCGUUCACUUAGGCUGAGCUGGAUUUGUCGAGUGAAUGUUGUACUAAAGCUGAGUCCACCGCUAAUACGUCCUGAAACAAACUACGUGGGAAAAAUAAAAUUUCAAGAAGCUAUACA